AUUGAACGCUGGCGGCAUGCCUUACACAUGCAAGUCGAACGGCAGCACGGGGCAACCUGGUGGCGAGUGGCGAACGGGUGAGUAAUGCAUCGGAACGUGCCAUUGAGUGGGGGAUAACGUAGCGAAAGUUGCGCUAAUACCGCAUAUUCUGUGAGCAGGAAAGCAGGGGGACCGCAAGGCCUUGCGCUCUUUGAGCGGCCGAUGUCAGAUUAGCUAGUUGGUGAGGUAAAGGCUUACCAAGGCGACGAUCUGUAGCGGGUCUGAGAGGAUGAUCCGCCACACUGGAACUGAGACACGGUCCAGACUCCUACGGGAGGCAGCAGUGGGGAAUUUUGGACAAUGGGCGGAAGCCUGAUCCAGCCAUGCCGCGUGAGUGAAGAAGGCCUGGUUGUAAGCUCUUUCGGUCGGGGAAGGAAAGUUAG
rnacentral:rRNA from 1 species